UGCUUUGUCCCCUGGGCCCAUGGGUCACUGACUCCUUUCCAGAGGCUCCCCUUCCCCCCGCCUGGCUCCUCCUGUUACUUCACUGCCCAGACCUUAGACCUCCACCUCCACGGGGUCUGAUUUCCCUUCCCCCUGCCCCUGGCCAAGCCCAGCCCUGGGCAUGAACCCAGCCUGGCAUGGGGCCUCUCCAGCUGCAGAGAGGGGGAGACAGGGUUCUAGAAGUUGCUGUUCCAGGACAGGGAUGCUGAAAGAGCCUUAAGAGGAGAUAGGCCCUCCCCAUUCUUGUCCGCCCAACUCCAGGGGUGCACACAAGCUCGAUGGAGGCCGUGCCUGGCACUGCCGGCACCAAGCGUGGGGGAGGGGGUGGGGGACAACAGAGCAUUCUCUGGCCUUGCCCAGUGUGUGGCCCACCUCCCACUAGCACUGGCCACCACAUACACCAUGGAGUCCGUCCCCAAGGAGGCGUGCUCAGAAUAGAAGGAUUUUCUGGGAGAUGGGUGGGGGAGGGCUGACCCUGGCUGAUACCAGAUGGGGCUGGGGUGUGGAGGGGCGGCCUCCUGGGUUCCCCUCGCUGCUGCCCACUUGCCUGGCAUCGAGGACAUCUUCGGGGUGCCCGGAGCAGGUGUCGUUGGUGAUGUAGCUGCUCUUUUCGUUGAAGGAAGGCGGGUCGGGCAGGAAGUGGAGCCUUAAGUGACCUGUGGGUCACGCUGCCAAAUACAAACGUGCCCCGAAGCCUGGAGACCAUGGGCACGUGGGUGCUGCUCGGGAAGGCUGUUUUCUAGGGCGGAUGGAGAUACGACUCUUCAGGAGAUAACAACUUCCUGGGCAGAACAAGCAAGGAAACAAAACGAACGAGGAUAUUUCAGAUGGUGGAAAUGCGACCAAGGAAAUCCCAUGGGCCAUAUAACGGGACCCCAGGGCGGGACACUUUCAUUUGCUUCCUCAGAGAAGUGACGUUGGAACCGAAAGUGUUGCUGCCUGCUGGUCUGGGAAAGAACAUUCCAGCCAGAGGGAUGACAGGUGCGAAGGAACGACCCCUGGUACAAGGCAGUGGCAUCUCUAGCUUAGGCACGCAUCAAAAUAAUCGCCUGGAGGGCUCAAGGACACACUGAUUCCUGGGCUUCUGCUCCCGGAGUGUCAAUAGGCCUAGUUUGCGGUACUAGAAUUUGCAUAACUAACAAAUCCCCAGGUGCUGCUGCCUCGCUAGUUGCUAGUUGGGUGUCACACUUCCUAACAGGUCAGAUACGGAAGCAUUUAGCACCUGUUAGCACCAACAACAGCCAUCAUCAUCACCGUUUGCUUCCUGUAAUUCUCCAAGGAGGCCCGAUACAACAAAAUAGAAUGCAGGGGAACCAUUGCAUAAUGAUUCUGUUGAACCCAUAUCCUGACCCCCACCCCCGCCGCCCCACCGCCCCGGCCAUUUCCCAGCUGCCAAUCCGUGCAGCGCUGAUAGAUGGAUCCCUUGCCGGGCCAGUGUUCACUCGGCCAGGCCAGCUCCGCUGGGCUUCUGGAGGAGGCCAGGGCUUUCCCAGUGCUGCCCGUGUCUCAAUAUAUGGUCGCUUCCUCUUUUGGGUCCAAGUUUUCGGGCCUGCUCUGCUCCUCCUCUCACCCCGCCUCCACCAGGGGAGAGUGAACGGGAAAUUUGAGUUUCCUCUGCUUUAGCCAAGACUGUCCCUUCCCUAUAAGGGGGAUUUCUCCACCUGGACUCUCCAGCCUUCUGCUUGUGGGGUCCAGGAGGGGCCCCUGACGGGAAGCCUCCAGAUGGGUGGGUGGGGGCAAGCCAGGGAAGGCCCAGGGCUCCCGGGGAAGGUGAGGGAGGGUGGGUGGAGGGCUGAGCCUGCCACUCAAGGUUCCAACUGGGGGGCUUAUACUCCAGAGAAGGGGCUGAGGCCUGGCUGUUCCCUGACCCUUCUGCAGAUAUGCUGGAUUUAGGGGACUGCUGGGGGAGCCCCAGUGAUGGGGGGCUAGGGAGUGGCAAGAAGGAAGGGAAAGAGACGGACUGAGAGACCAAGAAAUAGAAUAUCAGAGAGUCAGAGACAUAGAGAGACAGGGAGAGACAGAGAGACAGAGACAGACGCACAGAAAAAAAUGAGGCCCAGGGAUGGAAAGAUUCCCUGAGACCUCUUACGGUGACAGUCCACAGAGACGGUGACAGUCCACAGAGACGGGGACAGAUGAGAGGCACAGAGAGGCACAGAGACGAGGCAGAGCUACAAAGAGACACCCAGAGAGAGAGACGGAGAGAGAUAACCGGGGAGAAACGGGAGGGAGAGAACUAGGGACAAAGAGGAAACGGUGGGGUAGGCCUUGGCGGGCGAGAAAGGAGAUGGAAAGCCGAGAGAGAUUCAGAGAAGAGAAAGUUAGGGAAACUUCAGACGGAAGGCGGGGCGCCGGGAUCCCCACCCGCCCCGCCCC